rnacentral:rRNA from 1 species
GACGAACGCUGGCGGCGUGCCUAAUACAUGCAAGUAGAACGCUGAAGGAGGAGCUUGCUCUUCUGGAUGAGUUGCGAACGGGUGAGUAACGCGUAGGUAACCUGCCUGGUAGCGGGGGUUAACUAUUGGAAACGAUAGCUAAUACCGCAUAAGAGUAGAUGUUGCAUGACAUUUGCUUAAAAGGUGCAAUUGCAUCACUACCAGAUGGACCUGCGUUGUAUUAGCUAGUUGGUGGGGUAACGGCUCACCAAGGCGACGAUACAUAGCCGACCUGAGAGGGUGAUCGGCCACACUGGGACUGAGACACGGCCCAGACUCCUACGGGAGGCAGCAGUAGGGAAUCUUCGGCAAUGGACGGAAGUCUGACCGAGCAACGCCGCGUGAGUGAAGAAGGGUUUCGGAUCGUAAAGCUCUGUUGUAAGAGAAGAACGAGUGUGAGAGUGGAAAGUUCACACUGUGACGGUAGCUUACCAGAAAGGGACGGCUAACUACGUG